rnacentral:lncRNA from 1 species
UUAUUUCCCUGCAGCUCUCAUCCCCUGCUCAUCCAAGCCUCCCUCCUUCCAGAUGAAUAGGAACAGGUUACAGCUGACCCAGUUUCACUCCCAGCUUCAGAAGAUGAAUCACGGUGGGUUGGCGGACAAGGAAUGGGGCCAAGAUGCCUCCCACCCUCCAGAAUCCGACCGCGGAGGGAGCUUCCAGUCCAGGAGCCUGCGGGAAUCCUGGCGGGGGCUGAGGGCUGCAGCCCCCCUGGCCUGGGCAUUGGGUGCCUCUUAGGGAUCUUGCCUGGGUGCCCUAAGGGGUCACCCGGUGUCCGUCCUGGAGGGCCGCAGAGUCAGCUCUGCUUCUCCCGAGUGGGG